AUCUAGCUGACGAGUCUCAAAUAGGACGAAACGCGCGUCCUGGAU
rfam:Schistosoma mansoni strain Puerto Rico chromosome 7, complete genome